rnacentral:lncRNA from 1 species
GCCUUUGGGCCAUAUCUGUAUGCUUGCGGCUGUCAGGUCUCACGAUUUUAUUUUCUGGACUUUGACCCAAAAUGUACCUCUUGAAGGUGAGAGGAUCUCCUAUAUCAUAUAAGGCAAAGUAUGUUUAACUCACAAUUGAUGUAGGACUAAAACCCCCAUAAUAAUAUCUAAGGCUAAGAUAGGUGAGUUUUUGGCUACGAGUGAUCUCUAAUCAUGCUACAGGUCAUGAAUGCUGCCAGGAAUUUGAAGGUGAAAAUGUUUGCAAAAAAUGGAGCUCCAAAACGAUUUGGUAUAUAAACGGGAUAGCAUCAAAGGAUCCAAAU